rnacentral:rRNA from 1 species
UGGGGAAUUUUGGACAAUGGGCGAAAGCCUGAUCCAGCAAUGCCGCGUGUGUGAAGAAGGCCUUCGGGUUGUAAAGCACUUUUGUCCGGAAAGAAAUCCUUGGCUCUAAUACAGUCGGGGGAUGACGGUACCGGAAGAAUAAGCACCGGCUAACUACGUGCCAGCAGCCGCGGUAAUACGUAGGGUGCAAGCGUUAAUCGGAAUUACUGGGCGUAAAGCGUGCGCAGGCGGUUUGCUAAGACCGAUGUGAAAUCCCCGGGCUCAACCUGGGAACUGCAUUGGUGACUGGCAGGCUAGAGUAUGGCAGAGGGGGGUAGAAUUCCACGUGUAGCAGUGAAAUGCGUAGAGAUGUGGAGGAAUACCGAUGGCGAAGGCAGCCCCCUGGGCCAAUACUGACGCUCAUGCACGAAAGCGUGGGGAGCAAACAGGAUUAAAUACCCUGGUAGUCCACGCCCUAAACGAUGUCAACUAGUUGUUGGGGAUUCAUUUUCCUUAGUAACGUAGCUAACGCGUGAAGUUGACCGCCUGGGGGAGUACGGUCGCAAA